rnacentral:rRNA from 1 species
CCUACGAGAGGCUGCAGUGGGGAAUAUUGCACAAUGGGGGAAACCCUGAUGCAGCGACGCCGCGUGAGUGAAGAAGUAUCUCGGUACGUAAAGCUCUAUCAGCAGGAAAGAAAAUGACGGUACCUGACUAAGAAGCCCCGGCUAACUACGUGCCAGCAGCCGCGGUAAUACGUAGGGGGCAAGCGUUAUCCGGAUUUACUGGGUGUAAAGGGAGCGUAGACGGCGCUGCAAGUCCGGAGUGAAAGCCCAUGGCUUAACCAUGGUACUGCUCUGGAAACUGUAGAGCUUGAGUGCGGGAGGGGCAGGCGGAAUUCCUAGUGUAGCGGUGAAAUGCGUAGAUAUUAGAAGGAACACCGGCGGCGAAGGCGGCCUGCUGGACCGUAACUGACGUUGAGGCUCGAAAGCGUGGGGAGCAAACAGGAUUAGAUACCCCAGUAGUC